CUCAUCCCCCAGCCCUGCAGGAGAAAGCCCCCAGCUGCCAGAGCUAUGGACCUGGGUCCACAUCCCCCUGCCCCUGCUCCCCCCUGUUGCUGGGGGUCUCAUUGUAACCCUGUGAAUGGGAGGCACAUCAUCGGGGCAGUGCGGAGCUUGCAGCAGCGAGCAGCUUCUCCAUGUGGAUUUGCUUUUCCUCGCCGUGCCAGGCCAUGCCCGCGGUGCUGCAGAGGCCCCAGGGAAGGGAAGCGGCAUGGAGCUGUCAUGAUCUCGUGGGGAACAUGCGAGUUCAUGGUAGCCUGGGAGAUAGUGACCAUCACUUGGUCGAGUUCACUAUCCAGCGAAGGGUGGGUAAAGUAACUAGUGGGGCUAAGGUGUUGGAUUUCAGAAGGGCCAACUUUAACUAGCCUUCUAAGCUUGCUAGUGAGGGGAUGCGACUCAAGAACAUAGAGCAAGCGGGGGUCCAGGAGGGUUGGAGGUCACUCAAGGGAGUAAUCCUUGGGGCUCAAAAGGAGUCUAUCCCACUGCAUAGGAAGGGAGGUAAGGGGGCAAAAAAGCCCCCUUGGCUGAAGAGGGAACUCCAGGAGAGUCUGGGAGCAAAGAAAGAGAUGUAUAGGCAAUGGAAGCAGGGAGCAGCCACCAAGGAGGAAUAUAUCUCCCUGGCGCGCUAUUGCAGGGAAUCAGACAGGCCAAGGUGGGGCUUGAGCUCAGGCUGGCUUCAACAAUCAAGGACAAUAAAAAGUCUUUCUUCAGGUAUAUAGUGGGCAAAGGGAAGCUCAGAGCAACAUAGGGCCCCUGCAGGACAAAUCAGGACAGUUGGUGGUUGACACGGGGAAGAAAGCAGAGCUCUUCAAUGAGUUCUUUGCUUCAGUAUGUCUGUGUACCGACCAAGCCAGUUCCCCCACCUCGAUCAUUGACGGAUGUUCACAUGGCACCAGUCCGCCUAUGCUUAGUUCUGAAAUAGUUAAGGAGCUCCUGGCGGAGCUGGAUGGGUACAAGUCAGCAGGCCCAGAUGACCUCCAUCCACGGCUGCUGAAAGAAUUGGCCAGUGUCAUAGCUGAGCCUCUGGCACAGCUGUUUGAGCACUUGUGGUGCUCCAGCCAGGUCCCUGAGGACUGGAAAAGGGCCAAUGUGGUGCCCAUUUUCAAGAAAGGGAGAAGGGAUAAGCCAGGUAACUUUAGACCAGUCAGUCUUACCUCUAUUCCUGGGAAAAUGCUAGAGAAAAUAAUGAAAGAACACAUUUGUGCAGGCCCAGCAGGGGAAACGAUGCUGAAGGGAAACCAGCAUGGGUUUGUCACAGGUAGAUCCUGCCUGACAAACCUUGUAGCCUUCUAUGACCAGAUCACACACUGCCUGGACGUGGGAGCCGAGGCUGAUGUCAUCUUCCUGGACUUUAGGAAGGCCUUCAACACAGUUUCGCACCCUAUCCUCAUUGGGAAGCCAGCAGACUGUGGAGUAGAUGCUUACAUGGUCAGGUGGGUGGCCAACUGGCUUAGGGACUGCACCCAGAGAGUGGUGGUGGAUGGUUCCUUCUCGGCCUGGAGGGACGUGGGUGGUGGGGUCCCACAGGGUUCAGUCCUUGGAUCGAUAUUAUUCAAUAUCUUCAUCAGCGAUUUGGAUGAGGGUGUGGAGAGCACUUUCUCCAAGUUUGCUGAUGAUACCAAGUUAUGGGGCAAAGUUAGUACACCGGAGGGCAGGGAGCAGAUUCAGGCUGACCUGGACAGGUUGGAUCAAUGGGCGGAGAGAAAUAGGAUGCAAUUUAAUAAAGAUAAAUGUAAGGUACUCCACCUGGGAAGGAGGAAGCCCCAGCACACCUAUAGGUUGGGGAGUGUCCUUCUCGGCAGCUCAGAGACAGAGAGGGAUCUUAGAGUCGUAAUUGACUCCAAGAUGAACAUGAGCCGACAGUGUAACAAGGCCGCCAACAAGGCCAAUCGCACCUUGUCGUGCAUUAGCAGGUGCAUGGCUAAUAGAUCAAAGGAAGUGAUGCUCCCCCUCUAUGCGGCACUGGUCAGGCCGCAGUUGGAGUCUUGUGUCCAGUUUUGGGCGCCGCACUUCAAGAGGGAUGUGGAGAAUCUGGAGAGGGUCCAGAGGAGGGCCACUCACAUGAUUAGUGGCCUUCGUGAUAGACCCUACGGGGGGAGGUUGAGAGACCUGAUUCUCGUCAGCCUUCACAAGAGAUGGCUGAGGGGAGAUCUUGUCGCUGCCUAUAAAAUUAUUAGGGGCAGUCAACGGGGAAUAGGGGUUGCGCUGUUUACUAAGGUGCCCCAGGGAGUGACUAGGAAUAACGGGUGUAAACUAGUUGGAUUUAGGUUAGAUAUUAGGAAGAAAAUUUUUCACAGUGAGGGUGGCCAGGAUCUGGAAUGGGCUUCCAAGAGAGGUGGUGCUAUCACCUAGCUUGGAGGUCUUCAAGCGGAGGCUAGAUAGUCACCUGGCUGGGGUCAUCUGACCUCAGUCCUCUUUCUUGCCAGGGGCAGGGGGUCACACACGAUGAUCCGUUGUGGUCCCUUCUGACUGCAGUCUAUGAAUCUAUGAGCUUGCAGUGGCGAGCAGCUUCUCCAUGCGGCUCUGCUGUGCCCUGCCACCCUGCUUCCCUCCCCUGGGGUUUCCUCAGUCCAGUGGGCGUGACCUGGAACGGCAGGGAACACUAGAGCCGUGCAGAGAAGCUGUGAGCUCUGCGCUGCCCUGGCAACGCGCCUCCUGCACACAGGGCUGCAGUGAGAGCAGCAGUGUGGGGUUGUGCCCCUAAAGCAGCAGCACACUCAGGGGGCAUGUCACCAGGGGAGCAGGGAGCUUGCAGCAGCAAGCAGUUUCUGUGUAGCUUUGCUCUUCCCUGCCGUGCCAGGUCGUGCUUGCCGAGCUGCAGAGGCCCCUGGGGGUGGGGAGGGGGAAGAGCAGGGCGGGAGCCUGUGGCCACAGCCUGCACCUGCCCCAUGCACAGACGGGGUGGGUGUGGGUCCUCCCUGCCCCCCAGGGAAUGCGAGCAGCAGCAGGGAGCUGGUCCUGUCCCAGACGAGCCACCUGCGGCUCUGUCCUGCUACCUGCUGGUGCCCUCCAGCCAUGCAUUGCGGGCCUAAGCACUGCCUGGCUGGGCAGGAUCCCCAGCCCUGCCUAGCUCCUUCCUUCUCUACAGGUUCCUCAGUCCCCCUCUUUCCCCACCCCACUUACUUGCUGGAGCUACUCUGCAGGCCACCUGGGGCCAUGUUCAUGUCCAUGCACAUGGUGCCCCCUGUCUCACCACCUUCCCACUCCCUCCCAACUCACUACAGGCUGGAUCUCUGCCAGCCUGCAGGGAGCUUAUCACAAAAUGGCAAAAUCUGUGUGUUUCUCUGGUAAAAUGAGAAAUCCGCAUUUGCUUCCAGUUAAAGGUAAAAUCUGCGGUUUAUUCCGUUUUUCUGUGGAGAACGGAAAACCCAAUUCCCUGGGUAUCAGAAAGUUCCAAUUUGAAUGAAUUACCUUCCUCGGUGACGAGAAGUUAUCCAUUUCUACUAAGUUUGGAACUUAUCCAAAACUGAUUAAUAACCAAGAAAAACACAAGAUUUUGGGGAGUGUCCUUGGAAAAUCAUGGGAUCCACUAGUCAAAAAAGGAGAAAUCUAUCACAUAUGGAGAGUGACUCUUUCUGUACAUAACAUGAGUUAAUUGCAAGGGAAAUAUUUACCAUACUAAUUAAUUAAGGAUAAACAUUUAAUACAGUUACAUACUAGACAACUAGGAGCCUGCUUGAAAUCAUGAAUAUAGUAAGAUUAGCUGGAAUGGAUACCUCAUUGUUUCUUCUCAGAUGGCCUAGCUGUGAGCUUGCAUCCUCUUGCACUAUGCAGUUAGCAUUAGUAUUUUGGAUUUUAACUUCUUGUGAGUAGGCCCCAGCUUAGCAUGAAUUUCAGAGUCCUCGCUAGCAUCUUGUUGUGCCACUUAGCAUCAGAGGGUGGACUCUGUGGGGAGUAGGGUAUAGCCAUAAUCUCCCCCUCGCCUCACUCGCAUUGCAGCUUCCAGUCAUCAGAGAUGUAGAGAGGGCUGCCUCAGAGUCUGCCCCCUAAAUUGUCUUCCUUGUAGCAACUAGUGGCCCUCUUCUGUGUGAAUUUGGCUGGUUCCUCCUUUAUUCAGGGCCAAGUACGAGUGUGUGUAGUAUUGGGUGAUGAGGAGGUCUGCAGCAUAAUGGCUUGGUGCGUAGGAAGGAGCUUUCUUGAGGCAGUUCUAAAUGUGGCACUUAGGAGUUAAAUGUAGCCCCUGGCUUUGAUAUUGUGUGGCAGUGAAAUUCAACUGGUAGUAAUUUACUGUGCUCCAUUUAACAGAGUCUAGAGAUCUAUACUGGUCUCCUUCAAGAGCCCAUUUCCUAGGCGGAAGAGUCCUCACCUGUGUAAGCUCUCAGUGUACGAAAGGCCUACCGUUCCCCUGAUCAUCCCGGCUGGUCUUCUCAGUCCCCUUCCUAGCUCUUCUAUCUCGCUGUAGAAGUGCGGCAACCUGAAUGGUGAACAGUGCUCAAUGGGUGCCUCUCCUCUGUCAUUCAGUUAGGUUGUAGUUUAAACUGGGGAAUUGCCUUUUUGACUGAGGCUUCACCCCAAGUUGAUGUAGUAAGCCAGCUGUUGUUGAUGGUGCCCAGGUCUCGUCUUUGCACGGGAAAAGAGAACAUAGAACCUGUCAGCGCGUGGAUGAGUUGCCUUAGGUUUUCCCAUGUGCAUUGCUUUGCACAUAAUGAUACUGAACAUCAUCUGUCCUUGUGGCGGCCAUUGACUUGAAUGUGCAAAAUCCUUCUUUGUGCCCAUUGGGAUGGUUUAUUCCUGUGCCCUCAGUAGGUCUUUGCAGUCUACCUUAGUAUUUACUGUUUUGAAUUUUUUGGAUCAGUUAGACUGUGUUAUGCUGUGGUGGAGUUAACACAGAUCCCUGGGGGACCCUGGACUGGCCCAUUAGUUGCCACUCCUGUUUUUUUUUUUAUCCUUUAGCCCAGGAUCUCCAUUUCUGCUACCACCUCGGCUGCUGCCCCACUGUGCAUUGGUUCUACUGACCGGUGCCCUGAGAGGAGCAGCUCUGGUGAGGGAACAUCCCUGACCUCUUCUGUAACAGAUGAACGCAGAGAGCUCUCUUAGUUUUUCAGCAUUGGUGGUAUCCUUCUGCAUCAAUCCCUCAGUGCCCUGAUUUUAUCCCAUUGGAUAACCAUGGUCCAGCUGACCCUUGGGAGGACCUCUUGCAUGCAGCGGACCUAGAGCUGAUAUGGGUAUGUUGUUAGCCUCUAGCAAGUGUCUCCUUUGCCUGUCUUGUAGCUCUGUGCUUGUCAGGGUUCCUAGUGCCUUGCCUUACUUAGGUGAGCGUCUUUCCUUACAUGCUUCAUUUCGAUCUAACUUGCACUGUUUCAAUGAAGUGUUUUUCCUUGGCCUAGCCUCCGUAGCCUGGCACGGGACCAGGCUGGCUGGUGUGUGGCAUGCUUUCUGUCUAGAUGUGUGACAUGUGGUGGGCGUUUCCCAGGCAUCUCCGGUGUGGGGUGACUAAUCAGGCCAGGUCGUAACUGUCCUUGGUGCUACUCAGGACUGCUUUCCCAGAGGUCCUCUCAGACUUGUGUAGGUGCUGGGGCCAUUUGCAUUUGGUCUCUUUUUUUGGAAGCAAGGGCAAAGGCAAUGACACAGUGGCUGUCACAGAAUGGCUCUGCAGCAGUGACCCUUCGUACCAAAUCCUGUGCCCUGCCUAGGCCUGUCUUAAACGUGGCCUUUUGGGUAGCAGGUAGCUGGAAUAAGGCCUUGAGAGAGCGGUCAGUUAUGGGGCCCAGGGAAGUUGCCUCUGCCUCCUGCCCUGUACUGCAAGGUACCCAGACAGCAUGAGGAUGAACAGAAUUGUGCAGCAUGAUAGCAGCAUCUGCUUUUGCAGCGUUUCUCUGUUCCAGUGGUGUUUCUAGCUUGCUUCUGCCAUCCAGGGCUGGUGGCUGAUGGUCCAGGCCAGAGGCUGGUGCCUGAGGUCCUUGCCACACAUUUUAUUUUGGACAUGCCCCCUACAUAGCCCCACCCAGUGCCAGGACUUUCUGGUUACCCUGCCUUUGGCUGUGGUCACAGUGCCCAUCUAUCAGACUAGGAAGGAUUCCGGGCAACUGUGCGGCUGCCUCGCUUUGUCUCAUCCGUGCAUGUCUCCCCGCUGAGUUUUGCUGGGUGCAGUCCACUGGCUCCUUGAAUACAUUUGAGGGUCAACAGGUGAGCGCCUCACUUCUGCUCCUGAUUCUUCUUGUGCUGUCCCAAAGAUUUGAGUCUGAUGCAUUUAAUGGCCUUCCUCUAAUGGAGGCAGGCUUAUAGUUUCCCAGAGGAUCAAGGUUACUGUCUGUGAAUAGCAAUUAAGCCCGUGGCACCUAGUAUUGGAGUGCAGGUGCGGAGGGAGAGGAUGAAUAGGGCCUGUCCAGGAUUUUCCCACUCUGCUCUUCUCCCAUGGCAGCUUCCAGUCAUUGGAGGUUUUGAAAGGUCAGAAUCGCUGGCGUCCCCCUGAUACACCAUGGUCCAAAUGUGCUGUUGACUCUCUUCUGCACAAUUCUGCCCCAUCACCUUUUGAACUGGUUUUAAAUGUGGGCCUGCCCAGCAUUGUGUUGUGAUGAGGGCCACAAGGUGAUUGUGUGCUGUUUGGAAAAGAGCUCCCAUGAGUUAGGCUUAAAGUUGCUACCUAGCAGGGGAAAACGAAGUCCCUGGGUUCUAGUAUGGUGAGGGAGGCACCCGAGAGGCAUUUUGUGUUGGCUGGGACUUAGACUGGGCUGUGCCACUGCUCCUGCUGGGACCAAAGCUGGAAGUUCCUAGCUACAGGGUCUUCCCCUCUGUUUAGGGUCAGACUGAUCCCCAGAUUUGGGGUCAGGAAGGAAUUUCACCCCCAAGUUAGAUUGAUAUGGACCACUGGGGAGGGGGUUGCCUUCCUCUGCAGCUGGGAGUGUGACCCCCUUCCUGGGAUCUCUUGAUUGUAUGUUGGCAAGAUCUCAUAGAAGCAGGAUGUUGACUGCUGUGCUUCCCCAGUUUUCCCUGUGGCAGGUUCGGGUGCGACGUUUCAUGCUGACGGUAGUCUUAGGGAGAGUUUAGAUGAUGGAUAUGUCUGAGAUGGUCUGGAUGGGGCUGAUCCUGCCUCAGGCAAGGGGUUGGACUAGAGGUGACCUCUGGAGGUCCCUUCCAGCCCCACUUCUCUCUGACUCUGUGAAUUUGUGCCUUGCCCCAAGGUUGCCGUUGCUGUCCCUAGUGGCCUCCCUGUCAUUGAGGGAGGUUUCUAGUUUUUUCAUCUGCCUAGCUUCCCCUCCCCCCCUUCUGUUUGUAUAGGUCUCACCUAGUGUUGAAGCACAGAUGCUGAGGGGGAGGGUGAAUGAGAUUCUCCCACCCCCUGCUCCCCUUGCCCAGCAGCUGGUAGCUGUGGUUCUGACUCCCUGGUUCCUCCCCGAGUCAGUAUGGAGCGAGGGCCCUAUCUGGUCCGCCUGUGAAGUAGGUCAAGCUGUGGGUCUGCGUGGUGGUUUUGAGGUCCUCAAGGUCAGUGUGCUAGGUGCUAGGUGGAGCAGCGCUUCCCCAUGUUAGGUGUUGAACAGCUGCUUAAUAGGGAAAUGGAGGUGCCUUACGGCUAACGCUUUGAGAGGCAGAGAGAUAGAAAUCGCUCUGCUGUGCUGUGGCUAGUGCUUCUAGGUCCUUGGCAAGGGCUCAGAGCUAGGAAACAUGUGCGGUGGUGUUGGUGGAGCUGCUAGCGAGGUCAACAGAUGGAUGUUGUGUGUAAUCGAGCACACGUGUGUUGCGACUGGUGCUUGGUGGGGAGCGGAGGCUCCUGGUGCAGUGUCCACGGUGCCUCUGAGGCCUCUGGUGUGUGGUAACUGUGGAUGCGGGAGCCCUCUACACGUCGGUGUCAUUGGACAGCAUGUUUCCCACGUGCAUUGCCUUCCAUAUACCCAUGGGCAUUUCUAUCUUCCCUGGCGUUGGCCAUGUCCUCAGCAGUGCCUACUCAUUCCAUUCUGCCUGCACCGCUCUGGACCACGUUGUGCCCCUGCAAACAGGGCCCUUCACACAGUGUCCUUUCCUGAGGGUCUGUGACCAUGAACCGGCAGAACAGCAGAGCCUGUGGGAUCACAGAGGUAACUUACCUGCCAUCUGGAUGCUGACUGCUAGGACAUGCUCCUAGCUAUUGAGCCUGUAGCCCAGGGUCCCGGAGGUCAGCAAUGUUUCUGGGCAACAGGCUGCACAGACUCGGCAUGGAUCAGAGGUGGGUCGAUCGAAGGGCCUGGCUGCUGCCGCUGCCGCCUCUUCCCAGCGUGUUUUUUUUUUUCUGCCAAUGGCAUCGUUAAGCUAUCUGGUGGCAGUGUAACGUGGAGUGGCAUGAACUCCUCUUAAGUAGCUCCCAUGUGUGGAGGCUCCAAAGUCUCCUCUUGCCAGCCUGUGUGUUGUAGGACCAGGACUCCUGUGUUAGCCGAUGUCUGGUCUGCAGCGCGGCCUUUCCUGCUUUCUUCUGUUGAUCCAGUUUCUUCCUUAAGAGGAGACCUGGGCGAAGGUUUCUUGGUGGUCCAGAUGCAGUCUAUUGAAGGGAGCCCCCCAAACCACCUGCUUGCCAAGAGCUUCAGAGCUCUGCUCAGUUAGUGCGGCAUGGCUUCCUGUAGAACAGCCACGGAGAUGUCUCCUUGGGAAGUCCCACGCAUCUGUCUGGUCAGCCAGGCCUGUGCUUUGUUUUUGUAUGGAGUUGAAUGGCAGGGGAGGUGGACUUAGGGGCUGGCUGUUCACCGGGCUCUUUCUGGAGCCCCUCUGUCUCCUGGUAUGGUGGCUGUGUGGGGAGAUAACUUGGUUACUGCAGGAAGUCAUGUUGCAAUAUCAGGUUUUUGCUCCUUUAGGGUUCUUGGGUCAGUGCCAUCCAGGCCUGGUGAUGUGUUCUGGCGUAGCCCUUCUAUUCUCUCUGAAACCUCGUCUCCUCCUGAGGUGGGUCUGUGGCGGUGAGGGCCUACCCCGGGAGGAGUGGGUGUAGCGAGGGAAUGGCCCUAACAGGUUCCUGUAGGAAGACCAAUGCAGAAUCUUAGUUCCUCCUUUGGUUGCACUCUGAGUGCGCAGCAGUGCACGCAACUGCUUGCCUGGCUCUCAGGGUGCAGUGCAGUUAGAGCUGCUCUUAGUGCUUGCCUGUAGCAGCUGUCUCCCCCAAAUUGUGGCCAGCUCAUUUAACUGCAGGACUUACUGCCUGGAGUUGCCGAAGUUGUGGCUCUUGUCACCUUGACCUCUGCCGGAUAAGUGGAACUUUUUUCCUUGGGUAGCCUCCCUGCUGUGCUGUGGGCCCAGCCUGGCUUCUCGUUUGGUGUGGGAGCCCUGGUGUAGCUGUGAAGGUCCAGGAGCACUGUGAGGGGCAAGGACAGUUUGGAUCAAUUUAUUUUUUGGAUGAAGCCUGUGGCUGAGGUAGAACUAGGCAAGCCUUUGGAUGCAUUCCUGAGUCCUGCAGUUGGUUUAGUAAAAGGGUGGAAACAGAUGUUGCAUUGGUGCUGGCACAGCAAGGUUUGAGGUGACAUGGAGGCCAAGGAAAUCGUGCUCCUUGGUGCACCACAAGUGCCCGCAGUUUUUUGGCAGGAUGUAGUUGGUCUCCAAUUGUGGAGGGACAGAGCAGCUGUCCUGGAGCUGCCUGUGCUGUCUGGCUUCCCAGGGAGUGCCUGUCUGGCUUUGCUUUCGUACGCUGACCUGGCCCACGCGGUCUUUUGGGUGCCUUUGCAGGUGAGGAGCCCUGGCCUUUUCUUUUCGCAGACAUGAUACGCUGGGCAAUCUGGUGGUUGCGCCAGAGGAGAAGGCAGACCUCUUUAACGAAUUCUUCACCUCCGUUUUCUUGUGCAGGGACUGGGACACCCCCACCGUGAUUCAAGACAGACUCGAGGGGAACGCCUCAAGACCUAAGGUUGAGGAGGACCGGGUUAGAGUGCUUCUGGAGGGGCUGGAUGUGUUCAGAUCAGUAGGUCCAGAUGCUCUCUACCCCAGGGUGUUGAGGGAGCUAGCAAGGGUUAUUGCAGGGCCCUUGGUAUGGCUUUACGAGCACUCGUGGUGCUCGGGCUAGGUGCCAGAUGAUUGGAAGAUAGCCAAUGUGGUUCCCAUCUUUAAAAAAAGGAGGAGGGAGGACCCAGGCAACUAUAGGCCCGUCAGUCUUACCUCAAUCCUGGCGAAACUCUUUGAGAAGAUCAUCAAGGAGCACAUCUGUGAUGGGCCAGCAUCGGGGAUGAUGCUUAAGGGCAACCAGCACGGUUUCAUUAGGGGCAGAUCAUGUCAGACCAACCUGAUUGCCUUUUACGACCAGGUCACAAAAGCAUUGGAUGCGGGUGUUGCCGUGGAUGUUGUCUUUCUGGACUUCAGCAAGGCCUUGGACACUGUCGACCACCCCAUCCUCAUUAAAAAAACUAGGUGACUGUGGCAUCAAUGCCUACACGGUCAGAUGGAUUGCAAAGUGGCUGAAGGGUUGUACUCAGAGGGUGGUGGUGGACGGGUCAUAUUGGACCUGUGGGGAAGUGGGCAGUGGAGUCCUCCAGGGCUCGGUCCUUGGUCCCGCACUGUUCAAUUUCUUUAUCAGCGAUUUGGACGACGGGGUAAAAAGCAACCUGUUCAAAUUUGCUGAUGAUACCAAAAUUUCACAAGCCCCAUAAGGGGGCAAAUGUGGCUUCUCUGCCAGCUCGGGGAGGUGGUGGCUGGUGUCGGAAGGUGGUGCGUUCUUCCUGCCCCGGGCACUGGGUCCCAGAGACGAGGUUGGCCACACAAAGUCUUACCUGCUCCAGUCUUUGUGGCAUGGUGUAUGUUGGCUGUGAUGUGAGGCUUGUCCUUCCUCUGUCUCCAGCAUGGUGUUCAUUGGCCAUUCCAGCGGUCCUGGCAAGGGGUUACCCUGCAUCGGUGCGCUUACAACAUCUUUGUUGCUGGCAGUGUCCUGUGUGGCUCAGUGAAGGUCAGAGGUGCUGUGGCGGAGCAUCUCUGGCGUCCCAGAAGGAUGUCCAGUGUGGCGGCAUGGCAGUGGCUGUGCCAGAGCAGGGGGCUGUGGGGCCAUGUAUGAAAUCCACAUAGAGUCGGAGGAGUUCAAGGAGAAGAGAACUGUCCAGCAGCACCAAAUGGUG